rnacentral:lncRNA from 1 species
AUGACACCACUCCCACUGCAACCAUGGAGACCAGUUUAUGGGAGGCAGUGUUUGUUGUUGUUUUUUAAUUUCCCCUCCUUCCCUCCCUCCCUCCCUUCUUCCUCUCUUUCCCACCUUCUUUCUUCUCUCCCUCCUUCUCUUCCUUCCUUCCUCCCUCUCCCCCUCCAUCUUUCUCUUCCUCCUUCCCUCCCUCCUUUUUUCUUCCUCCCUCCUUUUCUUCCUUCCUUCCCUCCCUCCCUUCUUUCACCUUUUUUUGUAGAAAACAUCAGCCUAACCCAUUCCCACCUGUCAGGAAUCAUUCCCUGGCCUUUCAGCUCCUUCCCAGAACUAUUUGGCAACUGGACAUCCUGCAGGAGAAUCAGAGGUGGGAAAGCAAAGAGACUGAACAUCUGUUACCUAAGGAAGAAGCCAGCAGUCAGGAUGAAAUCUGGAACUGCUGAGCUGGUGUGGGAGCCACUGAGCUGGUGUCUAGGGAGGCAAAGCUGCCCUUGUUACAAAAUGGUACCUGGAUGGGAGAGUACAGCCUGGUUCUCUUUCCAUUACAUGCCCCCAACACAGGUUUACUGGGAAGAGAACAUGAGGUAAGAUGGCUUUGCUCCUCCUCUUUCUCUGAGAUGCUUUGGUUUGUGGACAUGGAGCCUGGCUAGUCUCGGUGCCCAUCUGCAGAUAAGGGGGGAAGACUUGCAGCCCUGGUAAAGACAGCAGGACAUCUCUGGAGGCACUCAGUGCAGAGGGUCAGGUGAAACCAGCUAUGGCCCCACUUCACAAUGACUCAUUAAUUAGGGGGUGAAAAAUAGGUCAGAUUUCCAUUUCAAAGUAGAGUGGCGUGCAGAAAUUCAAUACUAUGCAAAUCAGAAUUUUGUAUGACAAAACAGUAUCUUUCCAUGUAAGUUUGGUUGGACAGUUGUGGUAAUAUAAAUGCUAUUAGUGAGUACACUGUCUUAGCCCUGGGGUAUGACUUAAUGGUCCCAGGUACACAAAAUUUCUAUCAGUCAUUUAGUGAUAUUUUUUUUUUUUAAGAAAAGCAAAUGUGGACCAUUACUGCUAUGGCCCUACAUUCAUGCUGACAUGCUUUGCAAGAAAUCUCAUUGCAUUAUUUAUUUCAGAGUCAAAGUGCUUACUUUAUGGAGAAGGUAAAAUUUCACCUGUAGGAAAAUUGGCACAAUUUCUUAUUUUAACAUCCUCAGUGCCAAGCAUUAAAAAAGGCCCUUUCUGUUUGGGUAAUUUUCCGCAGCAGGAACUUUAAAUUAUUUACAGCUUCUCUUAUCUGAAACCAGAGGAAACACACCGUUUUCCAUGCCACGAUUUAUACUGUGAACUGUUUGUAGGAAAAAAAAGUGGGGGCGGGGAGUAAAUUACAGAUGUGAGCAAGAAUCAGAGACAGAGCAAAGGAUUGUCACAAAACCAUGGUGUCUUUCUCUUGUGGAAGCUGAGGUGGGUCUAAGGGACCCUGGGAGGGCAGGGAACAUCAAGAUGGUUAGAAAUUGCCUUGUUUUGGGGAGCUUCUGCAGUGGUUCCCAAAUAAGCAACAGUGAAUGACCAAAAGCUGGAAUGAAAUGAGCAAAACCUGGGUGGGUAAUUGGAGGCACUGCUAGACAGAGACCUUGAUCCCCGGGUCAAGAAGAUCCCCUGGAGUAGGAAAUGUCAACAGUUCCAUGAACAGAGGAGCCUAGUGGGCUAUAGUCAGUCACAAAGAGUCUGACAUGACCAAGCACGAGUUCUAGCUAGCUAGACAGAGACCAGGGCUGGUGGCUCAGGUUGUAGCAAUAAGGCUUGGCUGUGUCUUAUGGGAAGUGUCAGCGAAGUAUACUGGUGGACAGAGCAUCUGUGUUCCUGGAGAGGCCAGAGGCAUUUUCCCUUCCUCCCUUCUCAGCCUUUAGCCUUCCUCAGCCUUAUUAUCACACUCCCUUCCUACUGAAUUGCGCUAUCCUGAGGCAUCCUCUGAUUAGUGUUGCCAGAUGUUCCUGGUCUUGGUCCCCUCCUCUGAUUAAGAAUUUCACAUCUUGGUUUUGAACUGAUCUCCUGUCAGUUUAAUUAGUGAGGGUGAGUCUGUUGAGCCUGAUUUUCUGGACCUGUACGGUCAGAAUCACACCUAAAAACUGAGAGAGCAGACUCUUUGCAGUUCUCCUGUGCCCUCCUUCUGCUUCUAUUAAUUGACUCAGUUCAACUAAAUACAACAGUAACAACAGGGGUUUAUACUGAUUAAGCUGCAUUAUGAUGAGUAUCAAAAGGGUUGUCUCCCUUGAUUCUUAGCUCAAUGAAAUACAUAGACUAACACACAUUUUGCAGCUAGAGAAAUUGAAACUCACACAGGUAGGGAGAGGUGUUGGCAGGAUUCACACGAGCCACCUGCCUGCAGAAAACAACUUCCCACCUCAGAAACCACCUGUGAUGCUGAGGAGCAAGUGAGCCCUCCUCACUGGACCUCAUCAUGUGAUGUCGUUCAGGAGGCUCUGCCUCACCAUCCGUUUAACCUACUAUUACCAACUGUGAUACUGUUGUUAAUAACAGAACAUGUAUUACUGUGUUGUGCUCAGUCAUGUCUGAUUCUGUGAUCCCAUGGACUGUAGCCUGCCAGGCUCCUCUGUCCAUGGAAUUUCCCAGGAAAGAAUACUGGAGUAGGUGUCCAUUUCCUCCUCCAGGGGAUUUCUCGACUCAGGGAUCAAACCCAUGUCUCCUGUAUCUCCUGCUUUGGCAGGUGGAUUCUUUACCACUGAGCCACUUGGGAAACCUGAACAUUUAUUGAGUAUGUUAUAAUUUUCAAAACGUUUCCUCAUCAUGCUCUCUUUUGAACCUCACAACAGGUACAGGACAAAUGUUUUCACCUUCUUUUACGGUAGAAUAGCAUAACUCAGGAGUGUAUGCCUAAGGUUACCAGCCAAAUGAGCAAAGAAUGAAACAGAGCCCUCUGAUCAUGAGGCCUGACCAUGUUGCCCUCCCUCAUAAGCCCACCAUACCUCUCCUGUUCCAAGACUUCUGUUUCCAAUCACAACAGUCAUUCAUUAAAUUUUGGCAACAAUGAGUGUCAGGGUGUCAGGGCUUCAGGUGAGGGGACCACAAUGAUGGGCAGCCAGGGAGCAGAAGGGGUCAUAUUAUCUUUUCAUUUCUGUGGCAGUCUACACCCCAACCAGGAGACAUGCUAGGGCUCAGGGCAAGGAAGGUUUGAGUCUUGAAAAAAGUUGCCCCUGAGAAGGCUGGGCACAAUUUCCUAGCGAUUGUGCUGGGGGAGAACAGAGAGAUUCUUUAAUCAGAGAAGGACUGAUACAGAAGACCCAUCCCAUUAAGUCAAAGGCAGUGUAGAGACUGGCAAGUGGUGAGGAGAAGCACAAAGCAAACUGGAGAUAAGUGCCACGUGCUUGAGCAACAGGAGCUUCAUUGUGAUUGCUGUUGUGAUAAGAGAGUCUUUGUCUAAAUAACAGCUGUUUAGACAUAGGGUGGAAUGAAGAAACAGCUUGGGAGGCCUUGGAGGUCCUGCCAACAGUGAACUUUGGAGUCAUCAGAAUUCUACUGCAUUACAUACUGGAUCUGUAAUCUGGACCAAGGAGCUUAUCCCUCUUUGCUCCAAGUUGUCCAACUGAAAAACAGGAAUAACACUUCAUUCAUGACAAUGUUCUGAGAAUUAAAUGUGAUGACAUACACAGACAGCCUCACAGAGGAUCUGGCACACACUGGAGCAUCAGUCCAUGCUAUUUCCUGUCUUUCUUGUCUCUUCUUCCACACCGUGAAUGAGGACCAUGGCUCCAUCUCAUGGGAUAAAUGACUUAGUCCAAACCCAACAGUUGGCACGUUCAGAAAUCUGCCUAGUAGUGAUCCAGUCCAGGCAAGGAGAAAUAUAUCUUUCCUUUGAGAAGCUUCUGGUCUUCAUUGGGUGGGGAGAAGCAUAUGCUAAAAUAACUAAGCCACAUUCAAUCCACAGGGUGACAAAGAGUCAGACAUGACUGAGCGAUUCACACGUUCAAAUAUAAACUGAAUCACUUUGUUGUACACCUGAAACUAACACAAUUUUAUAAAUUAACUAUACUUCAAUAAACAAAUGGAAUAAAAUAGAAAGCCCA